GGCCAGCAGCCGCGGUAAUACGAAGGAUUCGAGCGUUAUCCGGAUUUAUUGGGUUUAAAGGGUGCGUAGGUGGACUAAUAAGUCAGUGGUGAAAGCCCGCAGCUUAACUGCGGAACUGCCAUUGAUACUGUUAGUCUUGAGUACAGUUGAGGUGGGCGGAAUGUGUCAUGUAGCGGUGAAAUGCUUAGAUAUGACACAGAACACCGAUUGCGAAGGCAGCUCACUAAGCUGUAACUGACACUGAGGCACGAAAGCGUGGGGAGCAAACAGGAUUAGAUACCCUGGUAGUCCACGCCCUAAACGAUGAUUACUCGAUGUUGGCGAUACACUGUCAGCGUCUAAGCGAAAGCAUUAAGUAAUCCACCUGGGGAGUACGACCGCAAGGUUGAAACUUAAAGGAAUUGGCGGGGGAC
rnacentral:rRNA from 1 species